AUUGAACGCUGGCGGCAGGCUUAACACAUGCAAGUCGAGCGGAGAUGAGGUGCUUGCACCUUAUCUUAGCGGCGGACGGGUGAGUAAUGCUUAGGAAUCUGCCUAUUAGUGGGGGACAACAUUCCGAAAGGAAUGCUAAUACCGCAUACGUCCUACGGGAGAAAGCAGGGGGUCUUCGGACCUUGCGCUAAUAGAUGAGCCUAAGUCGGAUUAGCUAGUUGGUGGGGUAAAGGCCUACCAAGGCGACGAUCUGUAGCGGGUCUGAGAGGAUGAUCCGCCACACUGGGACUGAGACACGGCCCAGACUCCUACGGGAGGCAGCAGUGGGGAAUAUUGGACAAUGGGGGGAACCCUGAUCCAGCCAUGCCGCGUGUGUGAAGAAGGCCUUAUGGUUGUAAAGCACUUUAAGCGAGGAGGAGGCUACUGAGACUAAUACUCUUGGAUAGUGGACGUUACUCGCAGAAUAAGCACCGGCUAACUCUGUGCCAGCAGCCGCCGUAACAC
rnacentral:rRNA from 1 species